rnacentral:rRNA from 1 species
GACGAACGCUAGCGGCGUGCUUAACACAUGCAAGUCGAACGGUAAGGCCCUUCGGGGUACACGAGUGGCGAACGGGUGAGUAACACGUGGGUGAUCUGCCCUGCGCUUCGGGAUAAGCCUGGGAAACUGGGUCUAAUACCGGAUAGGACCACUGCCUGCAUGGGUGGUGGUGGAAAGCUUUUGCGGUGUGGGAUGGGCCCGCGGCCUAUCAGCUUGUUGGUGGGGUGAUGGCCUACCAAGGCGACGACGGGUAGCCGGCCUGAGAGGGUGACCGGCCACACUGGGACUGAGAUACGGCCCAGACUCCUACGGGAGGCAGCAGUGGGGAAUAUUGCACAAUGGGCGCAAGCCUGAUGCAGCGACGCCGCGUGAGGGAUGACGGCCUUCGGGUUGUAAACCUCUUUCAGCACCGACGAAGCGCAAGUGACGGUAGGUGCAGAAGAAGGACCGGCCAGCUACGUGCCAGCCGCCGCCGUAA